rnacentral:lncRNA from 1 species
CUUCCGCCUUAGGCAGCCGCUAGGCGGGAGGGACAAUCCCCCACCACCAACCACUGCCACCCCGAGGGGACUAGGGGCUGAGGCCCGCCCAGUUCGUUUCCUCUGAAGCCUAAACCAGUGUCUACGCAGGCGGAGCUGAACGGAGAGGUGAAGCAGGGGGUCUUUAUAUUCCCUGCAGAAACCCUGGAUCCCACUCCACUGAGGAAAAUCCUUUCUCUUUUGUGUUUGGGUGCUUUUAAAGGAAUUUCUUUCCUUUCCCUUGGCUGGCUGGGUCCAGCCAUCUCCGGCCAGCAACCCUGUCAGUGUUCCACCCUGUCCCAGGCCCUGUGAUAUUUAUUGUGGCUAAAGGCAAUGAGAUUGGGUGGAAGAGAAGGGUCUGGGCCAGGGACUGGAGAGGUGGGGGUGGAGUGGGCAAGGGCACACCCUGUGGCAGGGGGUCCUAUAAUUUUGUGUAAAUAUCUGUACAGCGCGCUGCUCUCGGCGUUCUCUGUCCACUGGGUGUGCAUUGAUUUAAACUUCUCCACUGUGGGGAAGCUCUGUGAAAUCGUCUGAUGGUCUGUGUGGAAGAAAAGAAAAAUCUGUCUGCCGCCUAUUUCCCAUUGGUGUCGAUUGAAUAAAUGUAUGUGAACUUCAGCAGUCACCAGCUCUGUCUGCUUGCCUGCACUCCCUUGCCCCUGAUGGGGCUCUCCCAGAAGAGCUUAGCUCCCCAACAGAGGGGGAGUGAGGAAAGGCCCCUGGGCAGCCCAAGCAGGCAGAGAGGGGUUUGAGCUUAGAGGAUGCAAGGGGCACUUUGGUCUUGGCCUUCAGCUGUUAAUGAGGCCGAAUCUCUGGGAAGCCUGUGGCCUCUCCAGCACUUUCAUUUUCGUUCUAGUCCUAAGAAGGUUGUUGCCUGGAGUUUUGCCUGGGGUUGUGUUUCCACUGCACCUGAGGAUUCUCAUGUCCUUCUAGUUUGGAUGUUGGCAUGGCCUGGGCAGAUCUGGGUGCUAAGGGUUCAUGAACACUCUACCCACUAAGUACAAUUUAAGGUGAAUAUAUCUGGUGAUGUGUACUCUGUAUGCCUCUGUUUCUGAGUGAAGGGCUUUUAUGGAACUUAUGAUUUGUUUUUGUGUUUGUCUGGGUCGGCACAGCUCCUUGCUUUUUUUUUUGUGUGUGUGUGUGUGUGAAUUGUAUUUCAGAAUAUCUGCAUUAUUAUUUCUAUGUAUGUUGGUGAACAUGUCUUUGUGUGUGUUUGUGAUUCUCAGUUGCUGUCUUUCUGUCUCUGAGAGGAGACAGGUUUCUCCCUGGCGGCUUUAGGGCCUUGUCUGGAAUCCCCUCUCCCCCCCCCGCCACCCCCUAACACAUGUAACAGAGUAAAAGGCUUGGACUGGGGACUGUGAAACCUUUCUUUCCUCCAGCCCAAGAGGGUUAGAGGGGCACUAUGAGCUGAAUGAAAGAGUCAGUGGAGUAACACUCAAGGUAAAACUUCCCAUCCCGUGAGCAAGACUCAUAGCUGGAAGCUACUGCCUGAGUACAAAUCCAUUGGUCUGGUUGGAGUCUUCCAUAAACCCAUUGAGUCUCCCAGCUCUCUGCCUAUGCCUGGGACUCCCAGUGGCCAGACUUGCCAGUGUGUUGAGUGAGAGGUGAUCUUUGGGUGAAGCAGAGAUGAUUGCUUAGCUCUUUUCUCUAUAUAUUCCAGUGAGAUUAUAGGAGAGGAGAAACAGAGGUGCAAGAAGAGGCAGUGUAGACUUCACAGAAAACAGACACAUGUUGAGGGCAAGGGUUGGGAGAUGAAGUGACAGACAGAGAAGGAAGAAGACACGGUCAGAGACCCAGAUGCAGGGAACUUGAGAGAGGUGAGCCACACAGGCCUCUUCAGCUAGGAUCCCUGCAGCUGGCAAUAGUAGAAAAGAAGGAAGAGGUGGAGGACUGAGACCACUGUAGAAAGGGUGUCAAAAUCAGGAUUAGGGUGGGAAGAACACACCAGAGCUGGGGAAGGGUUGUUUGGGGUUCCCAAGUCUCUCAUCGCCUUCACCAGUGGAGAAGAGAUGAGGCUCAAGGUGCAAAGAGUACACGCAGUCCCUCUGCCAGAGGCAAGGCAACCCUCUCCUUGUUGAGAGACUGUGGAAGUGGAGGGAGGUCAAACGGAGUGGGCCACCUUCCCACCAUUUUAUCAAAUGGUCCAGGCAAAGUAAGGUUAGGUUGGAUGGUAUAAAGGGAGAAACCUCUGCUGAUACUGGGAUGAAGGUCUCUGGCUGGUUGCUUCGUCUACUUAAAUGUCUCUGAGUUUAAUUUUGUUUAUUUUCACUUGAGGAAGGGUGACUGUGACUGAAGGAACAUGCACCCACACAAGUGAGCAUGUGUGUGUGUGUGUGUGUGUGUGUGUGUGUGCGCUGUCAGUAAAGCACUUUGUAGCUAUGUGAUCUCAUUUACAAUGAAUAUGUCACUCCCAGAUAUUAGAUCGGAGGUUUACGUAAAAGAUUUAUUAAUUGGUUUUUC